GAGGAAUAUUGCACAAUGGGCGCAAGCCUGAUGCAGCGACGCCGCGUGGGUGAUGAAGGCUUUCGGGUCGUAAAACCCUUUUCUAGAUGACGAGUAAGGACGGUAGUCUAGGAAUAAGCGUCGGCUAACUACGUGCCAGCAGCCGCGGUAAAACGUAGGACACAAGCGUUAUCCGGAGUUACUGGGCGUAAAGGGCGUGUAGGCGGGAUGAUAAGUCUACUCUGAAAGCUCCUGGCUAAACUGGGAGAGGCGAGUGGAGACUGUCGUUCUAGAGUGAGGAAGAGGAAAGUGGAAUUCCGCGUGUAGUGGUGAAAUGCGUAGAGAUGCGGAGGAACACCAGUGGCGAAAGCGACUUUCUGGUCCUUAACUGACGCUGAGGCGCGAAAGCAUGGGGAGCGAAC
rnacentral:rRNA from 1 species